GACGAACGCUGGCGGCGUGCUUAACACAUGCAAGUCGAACGGAAAGGCCCUGCUUUUGUGGGGUGCUCGAGUGGCGAACGGGUGAGUAACACGUGAGUAACCUGCCCUUGACUUUGGGAUAACUUCAGUAACCUGGGGCUAAUACCGGAUAGGGGCUCCUCCUGCAUGGGGGGGGUUGGAAAGUUUCGGCGGUUGGGGAUGGACUCGCGGCUUAUCAGCUUGUUGGUGGGGUAGUGGCUUACCAAGGCUUUGACGGGUAGCCGGCCUGAGAGGGUGACCGGCCACAUUGGGACUGAGAUACGGCCCAGACUCCUACGGGAGGCAGCAGUGGGGAAUAUUGCACAAUGGGCGGAAGCCUGAUGCAGCAACGCCGCGUGCGGGAUGACGGCCUUCGGGUUGUAAACCGCUUUCGCCUGUGACGAAGCGUGAGUGACGGUAAUGGGUAAAGAAGCACCGGCUAACUACGUG
rnacentral:rRNA from 1 species